CUUGUACACACUGCCCGUCACAUCAUGGGAGUUGGUUUUACCUGAAGCCGGUAGGGGAACCCGAGAGGGGCGCCGCCGACCACGGUAGGGUCGAUGACUGGGAUG
rnacentral:rRNA from 1 species